rnacentral:misc_RNA from 1 species
AACGCACAUUGCGCCCCCUGGUAUUCCGGGGGGCAUGCCUGUUCGAGCGUCAUUACAACCCUCAAGCAUUGCUUGGUCUUAGGCUCCGCUGCUCACCCGGCCGGCCUUAAAACCAGUGGCGGUGCCGUCGAGGCCCUGAGCGCAGUAAAUAUCCUCGCUAUAGGGACCCGGCGGACGCUGGCCAUCAACCCCCACUUUCUAAGUUUGACCUCGGAUCAGGUAGGGAUACCCGCUGAACUUAA